AGCCUUGUGGUGUAAGUGCACAUAAAAUUGCAAAUUUUAAAGGAAGAAUUUAGUUUCUUCGGGGCUU
rnacentral:tRNA from 2 species